rnacentral:lncRNA from 13 species
AUGGUGAAUGUGCGAUGGAGAGGACCAUUCGUGGUUUGCAAGUUGGACUACAUCCAGUCCCAGCUCCUUCCCUUCAUGGAUUCGUUACUGCCUUGUCUUGCAGAAGAGGACAAGUCACGACUGUGCUUCCGUUUGCUGAUCUCUGGAAAGGCAACCCUGAUGCUUGUGGCGGGUGAACCCCUGGCAAGUUUCCUGUGUUCUCCUCACAGCCUGGGUCACGUGGUGCUUUCUGUCUCUUGAAUCAACUUUGUGACCAAAGCACCGUGCACCGUGCUUUGCAUGGUCCCAACUGUCUGGUUUGUCUGGGACUCGGGGGCUUUUCCAGAUGCGGGACUUUCAGUGCUGGAACUGGGAAAGUCCGGGGUAAAUCAGGAUGAGUCAGCGGCCCUGCCUCGUGCUCUAGAUGAGUAAGGCCUGCAGAGGUCAAGGCUACAGCUCUCUCCACAGAGGGGAUCUUCCCUCACUGUGAGCGCAGAGCAGGAGGCUCCUGUGUGCCGGGGUGGGGGGGUGGGGGGAGAGGCUGGAUCUGAAGGUGGGUGGAGCCAGGACAAUACUAGAUUAGGGACUGCCAGCAGUUUCUCAUUCUGUUUUGUUAGUUUUUGAGAUGGCAUCUUGCUCUGUCACCCAGGCUGAAACUGGGUGUGAUGCUGAAUGAAAGACGCCAGUCACAAAGGUCAUGUAUUGUAUGAUCCUCUUUAUAUAAAAUAAUUUAUAUAUAAAUUAAUGGACACCAGGGGCUGGCAGGCAGGGGAGAUGGGGAGUGACUGCUAAUGGGUGUAAAACAUCCAGCUCACAGAUGCUCUGCUUAAUUUUGAGGUCACAGCUUCCUCCAGCAUCCUCUGGGGUCUUGCCA